rnacentral:lncRNA from 1 species
AAAAAAUACAACCUUCUGUUUCAUAAUCUCUACCUGGGACAGAACCACCUCCAUUUGGUUUCAGUUUUUGUCCCAGGGUAUGAAUAAAACAGGAGCAAUUUCAUCUUUGACUGUUAAAAGCGUGAUACCCUUAACAAAUGCGCAGCUAAAAGAACUUGAGACACUCUAAGAAGAUGAUGAACUUUACAAAGCACGUGUUCGUUGCCUUUGUGUUACUUGUUCUCGUGGUAGACACGUGCCAAAGUGCUGGUAGGCGGAAGCGGCUGUGUCGAUUGAAGAAGAAGAAAGGCGAAUGUGUUGAUAUUAUACCGAGGAAAACUUUGAAGAAAUACAAGCAUUGUCCAGCCUUCGAUGUGGCCACCUUGGGAAGAUGUGCCAAACGUAACGGUACUUGUACAAUGAUCCAGACUGCAAAGGGUAGAAACAUUUGUGAAUGUAUCGAACCCGGAAGAUUAUUUCGAGAUCAACCACGGAGCAAAUGAUUCUAAGAAACAGAAACAUCCACCGCCCACAGUUUACACUUCUGAUAUUUCUACCGCCAAGAAGCCAACCUCAGGAAUUUGUUUUAAAGUUUGAAAACAUUUAGUACAGAAAUCUUUUUUAAAAAUCAGCUUGAAAUUAACAUUUUUAACAGCUAGUAGAUGGUGUGACUAAUACUUUCUGUUAAUCGAAUAACUAAUAUGUACAAUUGUUACAUGAUAUAAAACCGCGAAAAUAUGGUACAAAAUGUAGUAAGAAUAGAUAACUAUUAUCCAAUACUAUCCAAGGAAUGAUUUUCAGAUUUAACAUGGUAUGAUAUUUAAACAAACUGUAAUGCAAAAGACCUUUUCAAUUGUUAUGAGAACAAUAAAUUCGAUGAAAAAAGUGUUUUUCCCAAUCUAUUCAAGCAAUCAAGUACGUAAAGAAACGAUUCAUUAAGCGGUCAGAUAGUUCAUCAGGCUAACAUAGCAUUGGUGCCAUAGGCUAAUCUAAUCGUCGUUUGGCUUUUAUCUUUUUGUUUUCAAUAUGAAUGUAUAAAUCACUUGUACUUUCAAAGCCCAUGAAUCGUUCUACAAUGCUUAGGAUAAACUUUCAAGUUUCCUCCAAGAAUAAAUAAAUAAAUAAAUAAAUAAACUCACUAAAUCGUUCUAUAAUGUUUUGAAUAACCUUGCAAUAUUCCGUUUCCCAAUUAUGCUGCCGAAGUGUGGUGCUGACGGAAAUAUCUGCUGCUCUGAUUAAUAUCUCUAUAUUUGUCAUACAUAAGAUAAGAUUUAAAGUUUGCAAGACAAAACAAUAUGUACAACAGAAGUUCAUAUGAGCUUUCAAAAUAGCUAAUCUGUUUGUCUGUUUGUAUAAACACUUAUAAUAAUUUUGUCAUCACAGCGUUCUAAAUUGUCAUUAAAAGAAAGAAAAGAUUUAUUGCUUUAUCACCAACGGUGUCUUGUUUAAAGUAGUCUUUAUCGAUGCUAUUUUCAAUAGAAGUGAACUUUGACCCUCUGUCUUUUGUCAAUAUUUCUGCUAGCAGUAGGAAUACAGAUUUCCACAAGUCAAAUAUGACGUUAAAGUCAAUCAAUACAUCUUUAAGCACCUUCUCCUUGUAGUAAGGAUAUAGUUUACCAACUGACGGAUAAGUUAUAAAAAGGACUAUACUUGGACAGAAAUGUUCAUA